rnacentral:rRNA from 1 species
GAUGAACGCUGGCGGCGUGCUUAAUACAUGCAAGUCGAACGAAGAGCCUUUGUAGCAAUACAGGGGUUUCUUAGUGGCGAACGGGUGCGUAACGCGUUGGUGACCUGCCCCAAAGUGUGGGACAACAGUUCGAAAGGACUGCUAAUACCGCAUGUGGUCACCGGGAUUAGAAUCCGGUGACUAAAGCAGUAAUGCGCUUUGGGAGGGACCUGCGUCCCAUCAGCUAGUUGGUGAGGUAAUGGCCCACCAAGGCUUCGACGGGUAGGGGACCUGAGAGGGUGGUCCCCCACACUGGCACUGAAACACGGGCCAGACACCUACGGGUGGCAGCAGUAGGGAAUAUUGGGCAAUGGGCGAAAGCCUGACCCAGCAACGCCGCGUGCACGAUGAAGGUCUUCGGAUCGUAAAGUGCUUUUCUGAGAGAUGAGAAAGGACAGUAUCUCAGGAAUAAGUCUCGGCUAACUACGUGCCAGCAGCCGCGGUAACAC